rnacentral:misc_RNA from 1 species
GCUUAAUUUACUGUAUAAAAAGAAGGGUACAUAUCCUUGAAAUUAAAUAAUUCUACGCCCACCAACCUUCGUCUAUUCAUAAUACACUAGCUAGAUCUGCAUUUCAUUUCACACCUUACAACCAUGGAAGCUCUCCUCUCCCAAUUUACCUUUCUCUCAGAUCAAGCCUUGCAGGACAAGAACUUUGAUCCCUCAACGAUAGAGGAUCUAAUGAAGCUUUUUGAGAUAGAAGCUUACAAGUCAUGGGCAGCAAUGGAACUUGAGCAAGAAAAUGAAGUGAAAGAAGCACAAGUAGCUAUGCGAGAUGCUGAGAACUAUCUUGAUUCUGUGAUGGAAGAAGCUAUGGAUGAAUUUCGUCGAUUCGAAGAGGAAAUGGAAAGGAUGGCAAAGGAAGAACUUGAAAGCUUAGAAAAGAGUGCUGAGACUGAAAGAAAGAUGGGAAAAUUAAUGGAAAAAGCUGCAACUAUUGCUUCUAAGAGGUAUAUUGAAGCUGCCGUUAAUUCUGCUACCGCUUCCAUGAAAUCUGCUUGGAAGGGACUUUCCUCUAACAAGGUUCAUCCUUCUUGAGAGAUCCUGAUGAAUUUUUAACCUUUUUCCUUUUCCUUUCCCUGAUCAUGAAAGAA